GCUGUGAUGAUGGAUUGUGGAAGUGAUCUACUGGAACUGAUGUAGUCCACAUUUGUCCUCUAAGAAGUUCUGAGCUU